rnacentral:rRNA from 1 species
GUGGGGAAUAUUGCGCAAUGGGGGCAACCCUGACGCAGCAACGCCGCGUGAGUGAAGAAGGUUUUAGGAUUGUAAAGCUCUGUCUUUGGGGACGAAACAAAUGACGGUACCCAAGGAGGAAGCCCCGGCUAACUACGUGCCAGCAGCCGCGGUAAUACGUAGGGGGCAAGCGUUGUCCGGAAUUACUGGGCGUAAAGGGCACGCAGGCGGUAUAAUAAGUCAGAUGUGAAAGUUUACAGCUUAACUGUGAAAGUGCAUUUGAAACUGAUAUACUUGAGUCUCGGAGAGGUAAGCGGAAUUCCUAGUGUAGCGAUGAAAUGCGUAGAUAUUAGGAGGAACACCGGUGGCGAAGGCGGCUUACUGGACGAGUACUGACGCUCAUGUGCGAAAGCGUGGGGAGCAAACAGGAUUAGAUACCCGUGUAGUCC